AUGAACGCUGGCGGCGUGCCUAACACAUGCAAGUCGAACGGAGUCCAGCCUUUAAGACCUUCGGGUCAAAGAGGGGAAGACUGAGUGGCGGACGGGUGAGUAAGACGUGGGCAACCUGGCUCAUAGAGGGGGAUAACAGAGAGAAAUUUCUGCUAAUACCGCAUAAGCACACACUGCCGCAUGGCAGAGGGUGAAAAGAGAAUCGCUAUGAGAUGGACCCGCGUCUGAUUAGCCAGUUGGCAGGGUAAGAGCCUACCAAAGCGACGAUCAGUAGCCGAUCUGAGAGGAUGAACGGCCACAUUGGGACUGAGACACGGCCCAAACUCCUACGGGAGGCAGCAGUGGGGGAUAUUGCACAAUGGGGGGAACCCUGAUGCAGCGACGCCGCGUGAGUGAAGAAGUAUUUCGGUAUGUAAAGCUCUAUCAGCAGGGAAGAUAAUGACAGUACCUGAAUAAGAAGCCCCGGCUAACUACGUG
rnacentral:rRNA from 1 species